rnacentral:rRNA from 1 species
AUUGAACGCUGGCGGCAGGCCUAACACAUGCAAGUCGAGCGGAUGAGUGGAGCUUGCUCCAUGAUUCAGCGGCGGACGGGUGAGUAAUGCCUAGGAAUCUGCCUGGUAGUGGGGGACAACGUUUCGAAAGGAACGCUAAUACCGCAUACGUCCUACGGGAGAAAGCAGGGGACCUUCGGCCCUUGCGCUAUCAGAUGAGCCUAGGUCGGAUUAGCUAGUAGGUGAGGUAAAGGCUCACCUAGGCGACGAUCCGUAACUGGUCUGAGAGGAUGAUCAGUCACACUGGAACUGAGACACGGUCCAGACUCCUACGGGAGGCAGCAGUGGGGAAUAUUGGACAAUGGGCGAAAGCCUGAUCCAGCCAUGCCGCGUGUGUGAAGAAGGUCUUCGGAUUGUAAAGCACUUUAAGUUGGGAGGAAGGGCAGUAAGUUAAUACCUUGCUGUUUUGACGUUACCAACAGAAUAAGCACCGGCUAACUUCGUGCCAGCCGCCGCCGUAACAC